rnacentral:rRNA from 1 species
GACGAACGCUGGCGGCGUGCUUAACACAUGCAAGUCGAACGGAAAGGCCCUGCUUUUGUGGGGUGCUCGUGUGGCGAACGGGUGAGUGACACGUGAGUAACCUGCCCUUGACUUUGGGAUAACUUCAGGAAACUGGGGCUAAUACCGGAUAGGAGCUCCUGCUGCAUGGUGGGGGUUGGAAAGUUUCGGCGGUUGGGGAUGGACUCGCGGCUUAUCAGCUUGUUGGUGGGGUAGUGGCUUACCAAGGCUUUGACGGGUAGCUGGCCUGAGAGGGUGACCGGCCACAUUGGGACUGAGAUACGGCCCAGACUCCUACGGGAGGCAGCAGUGGGGAAUAUUGCACAAUGGGCGGAAGCCUGAUGCAGCAACGCCGCGUGCGGGAUGACGGCCUUCGGGUUGUAAACCGCUUUCGCCUGUGACGAAGCGUGAGUGACGGUAAUGGGUAAAGAAGCACCGGCUAACUACGUG